UGGGAUGUUCAACCUUUCCAGGAUGCUGGGU
rnacentral:piRNA from 1 species